rnacentral:rRNA from 1 species
GAUGAACGCUGACAGAAUGCUUAACACAUGCAAGUCUACCAAGAAUCACUUCGGUGAGGAAUGGUGGCGGACGGGUGAGUAACGCGUAAAUAAUCUGCCCUUUAGACUGGGAUAUCCUUUGGAAACGAAGGUUAAUACCGGAUAUUAUGAGAUGGACGCAUGUUCAACUUAUGAAAUCUAAAUGCACUAAAGGAGGAGUUUGCGUCCCAUUAGGUAGUUGGUGGGGUAAAGGCUCACCAAGGCCACGAUGGGUAGCCGGCCUGAGAGGGUGAACGGCCACAAGGGAACUGAGACACGGUCCUUACUCCUACGGGAGGCAGCAGUGGGGAAUAUUGGACAAUGGACCAAAAGUCUGAUCCAGCAAUUCUGUGUGCACGAUGAAGGUCUUCGGAUUGUAAAGUGCUUUCAGUAGGGAAGAAAAAAAUGACGGUACCUACAGAAGAAGCGACGGCUAAAUAUGUGCCAGCAGCCGCCGUAA